GAUCAUGGCUCAGGAUGAACGCUAGCUACAGGCUUAACACAUGCAAGUCGAGGGGCAGCAUGGUCUUAGCUUGCUAGGGCCGAUGGCGACCGGCGCACGGGUGAGUAACACGUAUCCAACCUGCCGUCUACUCUUGGACAGCCUUCUGAAAGGAAGAUUAAUACAAGAUGGCAUCAUGAGUCCACAUGUUCACAUGAUUAAAGGUAUUCCGGUAGGCGAUGGGGA
rnacentral:rRNA from 1 species